rnacentral:rRNA from 1 species
UACGUAGGCAGCGAGCGUUGUUCGGAGUUACUGGGCGUAAAGGGUGUGUAGGCAGUUCUUUAAGUUUGGUGUGAAAUCUCCCGGCUCAACCGGGAGGGUGCGCCGAAUACUGAGGGACUAGAGUGCGGGAGAGGAAAGUGGAAUUCCUGGUGUAGCGGUGAAAUGCGUAGAUAUCAGGAGGAACACCGGUGGUGUAGACGGCUUUCUGGACCGUAACUGACGCUGAGACACGAAAGCGUGGGUAGCAAACAGG